CAAAAUUUGUAAUUCCAGUAAAAUUGAUCCAAAAGUUUGUAUUAAAGACUAUAUAUAUAUUUGAAAAGGAAAAAGUAAAAGCCAACAUCUAUUAUAAUAGAUAAAAAUAAUUAUUACAAAAUACUAAUUAAAACCCUAUGAUAAUGACAUAAGGAUAUAAAAAGAAUUGAUGAAAAUUCAGAAACAAACAAAAAAAGUUAUAUACAAAUUGGCAUUUGGAAUACAGGAAAGAUAUCAACAAAAAAAAUGGGCAAGGGCCAGGGAUUUAACUCAGUGGUGCGGCUGCCUGCCUCACAAGCACAAGGUCCUGAGUUUGAACCCCGGUACCAAAAAAAUCAAUGGGCAAAAGGUAGACUCUAUCUGGUUAUAUGGCUAUAUAUUAUUUCUAAUGUAUUAUAGUAUGAAUCUUUAAAUAUACAAAUAUUUGUUAUCAAUGUAUAAUAACAUUAAUAGGUCAUAUAUGUAAUAUUUUCAUGUAGCUACAUACACAAAUAGAUGCAUAUAUUCAGUGUGGCAAUUAUAUCAUUUACUAAAUAGUGAUUUAGGUGUUUGUGAUAUUAUUCCCUGCCCUAUUCUGAAUGUUAAAAUUAUUUAAUAAUUAAAUAUUUUAUUUUAUCUUUAGGAUAUAUGAUAUGAGAAAUAAAGCAUAAGAAAUAAAAUAUUCUGGCCUUUUACGGUGGUUCUUUCAUAGGUAAGUGCCACGACAGACAUAGACUUCUUCGAUCUUCAGCAUGCAGUGCACUAAUAAUUUACACCAUAAAAGCAUUAAUUGAAUUUUUGUAAAAUCAAGAAAAUUGUUACUUUUUCUUCUUUCAUUCUAUACUCAUUUUUCAAAUCUUGUACAAAAUGUCAAAUGAAUAUUCUUUUGUGCUUUUACCUCAUGACUCUUAGCACAAUUAUAUAUAUUUUUGCUAUAAUGAUGGAAUUUUUAUUCUGGAAAUCACUUUUGAGAUUAGAGGAAGAAAAGAGUUAAAACACUGAAAUCCCCUACUAUGGUCUCUAUGACUUCAGCCAAAUCAGGUAAUUCAGUGAUAAAUCACCACCUUUAUACUCCAGGUAACAGAGGAUGAGCAGAUCCCCACCAUCUGUAGCUAAUUUUAUUUUCUGCUGAUAUGAAGAGUCAUUUCUAACCAUCUCUUGAGCUGUAAUUCCCACUCUGAAAUGGAAUAAAACAUACCACAGCUACAAAGCAAAUGGACCUAUGCAGGUGAUUCUGAGGACACUUGGCAUCUUUUCCUCUCUCACGUUCCCCUGCUGUCCUCUGCCCUCUUUUUGAUCCAUUCCAGUUUCUGAGCCAGCCAUUACUCCCAUGCAUAGGACACUUUUGGCAGCUAGAAGAGUCAUCAGAACACUGGCCAGCCCUGGCUGGUUAUGCAGCAGAUGUUUGUGAAGUCACAUUUUUUAAAAAUUGUAUUCUCUGUAGAGAAAACAGGGUUUAAAAAAUAUUUUUUCUAUAUUACACUUUCUUCUAUAUGAAUAGUUCAGUACUUGAAAGGCAAUUUUUGGAGAUAAAUCAUAAUAUCUGC
rnacentral:lncRNA from 1 species